CAGUCGCCACGGUAAUACGUAGGUGGCAAGCGUUGUCCGGAAUUAUUGGGCGUAAAGGGCUCGCAGGCGGUUUCUUAAGUCUGAUGUGAAAGCCCCCGGCUCAACCGGGGAGGGUCAUUGGAAACUGGGAAACUUGAGUGCAGAAAAGGAGAGUGGAAUUCCACGUGUAGCGGUGAAAUGCGUAGAGAUGUGGAGGAACACCAGUGGCGAAGGCGACUCUCUGGUCUGUAACUGACGCUGAGGAGCGAAAGCGUGGGGAGCGAACAGGAUUAGAUACCCGAGUAGUCCCUGUCUCUUAUAC
rnacentral:rRNA from 1 species